rnacentral:lncRNA from 1 species
GGCGCACUUGCUUACAGGCCUGACGGUGAGCUCCUCGUGGGAGCGCGCGGGACUGUCCGCAGGGCGUGCGGGUCGGCAGCCCAAGGGGGUGAUACCUCCUGAGCACUCUUUGGGUGGAGCCCAGGGCAGUUUUUGUCCAUUUGGCUGGGGGAAGGUGGGGGGACCUUGGUGAAGCCACAGCAUCCAGACAGAGCCCAAUUCAGUCUUCUGAGGACUCUACCUUUUCUUCAGGAGGAGGGAAUGGCAGCUGGGAUCCUGACUGCUGGGCCCCAGGUGAGUUGGGG